rnacentral:rRNA from 1 species
GGUCCAUUCUAGCAUGUGCA